UACGUAGGGGGCAAGCGUUGUCCGGAAUCAUUGGGCGUAAAGAGCGUGUAGGCGGUCCGGUAAGUCGGCUGUGAAAGUCCAGGGCUCAACCCUGGGAUGCCGGUCGAUACUGCCGGACUAGAGUUCGGAAGAGGCGAGUGGAAUUCCCGGUGUAGCGGUGAAAUGCGUAGAUAUCUGGAGGAACACCGGUGGCGAAGGCGACAUCCUGGACCGGUAUUGACGCUGAGGCGCGAAAGCCAGGGGAGCAAACGGG
rnacentral:rRNA from 1 species